CACGUAGGGGGCGAGCGUUGUCCGGAUUUAUUGGGCGUAAAGAGCUCGUAGGCGGUUCGGCAAGUCGGGUGUGAAAUUUCGAGGCUCAACCUCGAAACGCCACUCGAUACUGCUGUGACUGGAGUCCGGUAGAGGAGUGCGGAAUUCCCGGUGUAGCGGUGAAAUGCGCAGAUAUCGGGAGGAACACCGGUGGCGAAGGCGGUUCUCUGGGCCGUUACCUGACGCUGAGGAGCGAAAGCGUGGGGAGCGAACAGG
rnacentral:rRNA from 1 species